CAGCCGCCGCGGGAAUACGUAGGUGGCAAGCGUUGUCCGGAAUUAUUGGGCGUAAAGGGCUCGCAGGCGGUUUCUUAAGUCUGAUGUGAAAGCCCCCGGCUCAACCGGGGAGGGUCAUUGGAAACUGGGAAACUUGAGUGCAGAAGAGGAGAGUGGAAUUCCACGUGUAGCGGUGAAAUGCGUAGAGAUGUGGAGGAACACCAGUGGCGAAGGCGACUCUCUGGUCUGUAACUGACGUUGAGGAGCGAAAGCGUGGGGAGCGAACAGGAUUAGAUACCCCCGUAGUCCCUGUCUCUUAUAC
rnacentral:rRNA from 1 species